rnacentral:lncRNA from 1 species
UUCAGUGGUUUUUAAUCACAUCAUCAUAAACCCUAGCCUCCAUCUUUCUCUCUCUUUCUUUCUCUUCCGAAGCCGGGAUUCACGUGAAACUCAGUCUCUCUAUUCUCUACCCUGAGCUCCUCUCUCUCUCUCUCUCUCUCUCUUCAUUUCUAGUUGUAGAGAGACGACCNCUCUCUCUCUCUCUCUCUCUCUUCAUUUCUAGUUGUAGAGAGAGACCCAUCUUCUUUUCCUCUUUCUCUUGGUAAAGAACAGAGGCCGUGGGUUUUUUUUUUCCCUUGUUGUAUUAAUUUUUGGAGUUGAUCGAUCUUUUUCUGUACGACGUUGU